GAUGAACGCUGGCGGCGUGCUUAACACAUGCAAGUCGAACGGACAGGCCCUGCUCUUGUUGGUUGCUCGAUUGCCGAACGGGUGAGUAACACGUGAGUAUCCUGCCCUUGACUUUGUGAUAACUUCAGGAAACUGGGGCUCAUACCGGGUAGGAGCUCCUGCUCCACGGUGGGGGUUGGAAAGUUUCGGCGGUUGGUGAUGGACUCGCGGCUUAUCAGCUUGUUGGUGGGGUAGUGGCUUACCAAGGCUUUGACGGCUAGCCGGCAUGGGAGGGUGACCGGCGACAUGAGGCCUGAGAUAGGGCCCAGACGCCUACGGGAGGCAGCAGUGGGGAAUAUUGCAGAAUGGGCGGAAGCCUGAUGCAGAAACGCCGCGUGCGGGAUGCCGGCUUUCGGGUUAUAAACAGAUUUCGAAUGUGACAAAGCGUGAGUGACGGUAAUGGGUAAGAAAGCAACGGCUAACUACGUG
rnacentral:rRNA from 1 species